rnacentral:rRNA from 1 species
AACGAACGCUGGCGGCAGGCCUAACACAUGCAAGUCGAACGCUGUAGCAAUACAGAGUGGCAGACGGGGGAGUAACACGUGGGAAUCUUCCUAUCGGUACGGAAUAGCUCAGGGAAACUUGGGGUAAUACCGCAUACGCCCUUCGGGGGAAAGAUUUAUCGCCGAUAGAUGAGCCCGCGUCUGAUUAGCUAGUUGGUGAGGUAAUGGCUCACCAAGGCGACAAUCAGUAGCUGGUCUGAGAGGAUGACCAGCCACACUGGGACUGAGACACGGCCCAGACUCCUACGGGAGGCAGCAGUGGGGAAUAUUGGACAAUGGGCGCAAGCCUGAUCCAGCCAUGCCGCGUGAGUGACGAAGGUCUUCGGAUUGUAAAGCUCUUUUGGCGGGGACGAUAAUGACGGUACCCGCAGAAUAAGCCCCGGCUAACUUCGUGCCAGCCGCCGCGGUAA